AGAGAAACAGUAGAGAAGCUCAUCCUGUACUUGAGGCACUAGCAGAAAAAAGACUGGGAACAUUUUGUAUACUUUGUAUACAGGAAUCUUUCUGAGUCACGUGGAGGCCAUUGUCCUUCAGAACCUUGCAAGGCAGUUCCACAAAGCUAUGGGAUGGAUGUAUUUUAUUUUUUGCUUGGAUUAGCCAGUGGACACAGGGGUCUCCUAACUGGAGGUCCCCAGGGCUCUCAAGUGAAGAAGGGACUCUCUUAGAACCUAAGCAAAGGCACUGGCAGGAAACUGAAGAUCGCCUAAGGAGAACAGCAAGUAACUCAUAGGGUGAUGCUGAACCCAGAGCAGGGACCACUUUGUCCAGCCCCAACCAGUUCCUCCUUGGAACUGUGAAAAGAAAAUUCUUCCUUAACUUUGCCUAUUCUGAAUUCACACUUGUGAAAGGGAAUCCUUUAUUCCCUUUCCCUAUUUUGAGUUAACACACUUUUUGAUUGAAUCAACAAAAACUUGAACUAGGUGGAAGAACUUGCAAACCACUUAGAGAAUUCACAUCCUUAGAAAUUCAAUCAAUCAGGAAACUUUGAACCUAUUGAAGAGAAAUUGACCUUCAGAGGAUGACCUUCAGAGGCCUUUGAUAAGAGGUGACCCCUUCUGAGGAUGAGAGGUUUGAAUCCCAGACACUGCCCCCUGGGUAGUGCUAGACAAUUUGGAAACUGUGAUUGACCCUUAUGAAAGGGGUAAGAGACAAGGAGCCACUAUAAAAGCCCCUGAAUUUCUGGGGCAAGGGAAGUCAACUCCAAGAAGGAAGUCAGCUUAAGGAAGAAGAUCGGCUCAAGGAAGAAAGUUGGCCUCAGGAGUCACCUUCAGCUCCAGUCAUGGUCUUGACCUGCCUCUUGGAGGGAAUUUGGGUCCCAGCACAAAGCAGCAACUGCAACAGGCAGAGUGCAGACCAAAACCUGGAAAAGAGUGCCGAGUUUAAGAACCAAAGGACCUGAAUUCAAAUCCAGCUCUGCUACUUACUACCUUGGUGACUUUAGGUAAGUCUUUCCCCUUCUCUGGGCCUCCAUUUCCUCAUCUGUAAAAUGAAGGAGUUGGACUUGAUCAGGGGUUCUUAACCUAGGACCCAUCACCUUGUUCUAGAUGGAAAGAGACUAUUCCAAUGCCAGGGGUCUUCCUUGGAAUCUGAGGGAUUUUACUUUGUGCCCUGAACACCAUGCCCUCUGAGAAGGGGCCCACAGGCCCUCAGAGUGUUAGGGGGCCCACCCAAGACCCCCAAAGCCUAAG
rnacentral:lncRNA from 1 species